GACGAACGCUGGCGGCGUGCCUAAUACAUGCAAGUCGAACGCAGUGGGGACGGGUGAGUAACACGUGGGUAACCUCCCAUCAGAGGGGAUAACACUUGGAAACAGGUGCUAAACCGAUACUGAUGGAUGGACCCGCGGUGCAUUAGCUAGUUGGUGAGGUAACGGCUCACCAAGGCCACGAUGCAUAGCCAACCUGGAAGGAUGAUCGACCAGACGGGGACUAAGGCACGGACCAGACUCCUACGGGAGGCAGCAGUAAGGAAAGUGCGGCGAUGGACGAAAGUCUGAACGAACAACGCAGCGAGAGUGAAGAAGGUUUUCGGAUCGUAAAGCUCUGUAGUUAGAGAAGCGGUAUCUAACCAGAAAGCCACGGCUAACUACGUGCCAGCAGCCGCGGUAAUAC
rnacentral:rRNA from 1 species